GUGUUUGCUUCGGCAGCACAUAUGCUAAAAUUGGAAAAACACAGAGAAGAUUAGCAUGGCCUAGAGCAAGGGUGACAUGCAAAUCCAUGAAGCGUGCAAGGUUGUU